GACGAACGCUGGCGGCGUGCCUAAUACAUGCAAGUCGAGCGAGACUCUUCGGAGUCUAGCGGCGGACGGGUGAGUAACACGUGGUCAACCUGCCUGUAAGACUGGGAUAACACCGGGAAACCGGUGCUAAUACCGGAUAAUCCUUUUCCUCUCAUGAGGAAAAGCUGAAAGUCGGUUUCGGCUGACACUUACAGAUGGGCCCGCGGCGCAUUAGCUAGUUGGUGAGGUAACGGCUCACCAAGGCGACGAUGAGUAGCCGACCUGAGAGGGGGGGCGGCCACACUGCGACUGAGAAACGGCCCAAACUCCUCCGGGAGGCAGCAGUGGGGAAUCGUCCUCAAUGGACGAAAGUCUGACGGGGCAACGCCGCGUGAGUGAAGAAGGUCUUCGGAUCGUAAAGCUCUGUUUAAAGGGACGAAUGGUUAGUAUGUGAAUAAUGUAUUGACAUGACGGUACCCUUGGAGGAAGCCACGGCUAACUACGUGCCAGCCGCCGCUGUAACAC
rnacentral:rRNA from 1 species